AGUUGUACAAAUACUAAAAGUCCCACAG
rnacentral:piRNA from 1 species